rnacentral:rRNA from 1 species
UACGUAGGGGGCAAGCGUUGGCCGGAUUUACUGGGCGUAAAGAGCGUGUAGGCGGCCAUGCAGGUCCGUUGUGAAAACUGGAGGCUUAACCUCCAGACGUCGACGGAAACCGCGUGGCUAGAGUCCGGAAGAGGGGAGUGGAAUUCCUGGUGUAGCGGUGAAAUGCGCAGAUAUCAGGAAGAACACCAAUGGCGAAGGCAGCUCUCUGGGACGGUACUGACGCUGAGACGCGAAAGCGUGGGGAGCGAACAGG